rnacentral:lncRNA from 1 species
UCUUGGCAUCCGGAGACUUUCCCCUCGACCCAGUGGAGCCGUCAGGCCGGAGCCUCAGAGCCUUGACACCCAAGCACUGCCACGGAAGUCUCCCCCUUUGCCAAGCCUCGGGGACUGGUUUCUAAGACAACCGUGGGAACCACUGUGACGGGAGAAACCGCUUGUGCUUCGCGCAUGCGCAUUGGCUGGGCCGACUCGUUCUCCCCUCCUGGCAGUCAGGCUGCGUCCCCUUUAAAGAACGCCACCGCUGAGAACUGACCCUCACAUCUCCCUUCCUGAAUUUCUUUAGGGAAAGCAACAACCAUCCCUGUGCCUUGCUCCAGUCCCUGCCCCAUCCUAGACUCAGGAUGCUCU